rnacentral:rRNA from 1 species
GCGGUGGAGCAUGUGGUUUAAUUCGAAGCAACGCGAAGAACCUUACCAGGUCUUGACAUCCUUUUGAAUGGUCUAGAGAUAGAUCAGGCCUUCGGGACAGAAGAGACAGGUGGUGCAUGGUUGUCGUCAGCUCGUGUCGUGAGAUGUUGGGUUAAGUCCCGCAACGAGCGCAACCCUUAUCAUUAGUUGCUAACAUUCAGUUGAGAACUCUAAUGAGACUGCCAGUGAUAAACUGGAGGAAGGUGGGAUGACGUCAAAUCAUCAUGCCCCUUAUGACCUGGGCUACACACGUGCUACAAUGGCCGGUACAAAGAGUUGCGAAACUGUGAAGUUAAGCUAAUCUCAUAAAGCCGGUCUCAGUUCGGAUUGUAGUCUGCAACUCGACUACAUGAAGUCGGAAUCGCUAGUAAUCGCGAAUCAGAAUGUCGCGGUGAAUACGUUCUCGAGUCUU